GCCUCUUCUUCCUCUGCACACAUAUCCCCAUGGCCACAUACAGCAACUGGGGUUUGUGCAGCUAAACCUGUUCUAAGCGAUGAAAUUAGCUCUCCUCUCGCUUCAUAAUUGUCCUCUAAUGUACUUACAUAUUCUGCAUUUAAGCCACAAGUUGGACAAUCACUAUAUUUCUGAGUACUACUUUGUAUACAAGCCACAGUAGUGUGCCCCAAAAGUAUCCGAU